CUACGCAAAGGAGGCUCCGAGAGGGUCCGCCACUACCUUUAAGGGCCUACGUCAACCGUAGAGCCCCAACACCAAGCAGAGCAAAACUGUUGAAAUGACGCUCGAACAGGCAUGCCAUCGAGAAUGCUGGCAGCGAAAUGCGACAAGCAAAGAGACUUGGAGACAUUGGAUUCUCAUCUUAUCAUUGAUCAUACAUUGUGCCUGCCAGCUUUCUGGAUGCCAUAACUGAUCGAGCGGCUUUUAAACGCUUAAGUUCUGUGUUUGGUUGACUCUCUACAAACGACGUUGAACCUGAGAGUGAGUGUCGUCCGCUGUCGGAGCCUCCCGCGGACAGUAGCAGUUCGUCACACAUUGUUUUUAGGAGACGCUCUAGCCGUGAAGCCCCCCAAUAAGACUGUGCGCAAAGUCGUUGAUGGGCGGGAACUCAGGAUGAACUCAAGCCGAUGAAGAAAGCAGGGAAGA
rnacentral:misc_RNA from 1 species